AGGCCAUGGUGAGGGCACUGUAAUAACAAUUCCUUGAGUCUUUCUCAAGUUGCAACCAACGAUUCCCCUUCUGACUGUUGGAAAUUUAUGAUUUGACUUCUCAUUUU